rnacentral:rRNA from 1 species
GGACUACAGGGGUUUCUAAUCCUGUUUGCUACCCACGCUUUCGCGUCUCAGCGUCAAUGUCCGUCCAGGUCGCCGCCUUCGCCUCUGGUGUUCCUCCCGAUAUCUACGAAUUUCACCUCUACACCGGGAAUUCCGCGACCCUCUCCGGCAUUCAAGUCGUCCAGUAUCUCAUGCACUUCCUAGGUUAAGCCUAGGGCUUUCACAUGAGACUUAAACGACCGCCUACAAGCGCUUUACGCCCAAUAAUUCCGAACAACGCUCGCACCCUCUGUAUUACCGCGGCUGCUGGCAC